GCGCCCGCCGGAGGACCAACCUAAAACUCUUAUUGUAUACCCCCUCGCGGGUUUUUUUAUAAUCUGAGCCUUCUCGGCGCCUCUCGUAGGCGUUUCGAAAAUGAAUCAAAACUUUCAACAACGGAUCUCUUGGUUCUGGCAUCGAUGAAGAACGCAGCGAAAUGCGAUAAGUAAUGUGAAUUGCAGAAUUCAGUGAAUCAUCGAAUCUUUGAACGCACAUUGCGCCCGCCAGUAUUCUGGCGGGCAUGCCUGUCCGAGCGUCAUUUCAACCCUCGAACCCCUCCGGGGGGUCGGCGUUGGGGAUCGGCCCUCCCUUAGCGGGUGGCCGUCUCCGAAAUACAGUGGCGGUCUCGCCGCAGCCUCUCCUGCGCAGUAGUUUGCACACUCGCAUCGGGAGCGCGGCGCGUCCACAGCCGUUAAACACCCAACUUCUGAAAUGUUGACCUCGGAUCAGGUAGGAAUACCCGCUGAACUUAAGCAUAUCAAUAAGCGGAGGAAAAGAAACCAACAGGGAUUGCCCCAGUAACGGCGAGUGAAGCGGCAACAGCUCAAAUUUGAAAUCUGGCCCCUAGGGUCCGAGUUGUAAUUUGUAGAGGAUGCUUUUGGUGAGGUGCCGCCCGAGUUCCCUGGAACGGGACGCCACAGAGGGUGAGAGCCCCGUCUGGCUGGCCGCCGAGCCUCUGUAAAGCUCCUUCGACGAGUCGAGUAGUUUGGGAAUGCUGCUCAAAAUGGGAGGUAUAUGUCUUCUAAAGCUAAAUAUUGGCCAGAGACCGAUAGCGCACAAGUAGAGUGAUCGAAAGAUGAAAAGCACCUUGAAAAGAGGGUUAAAUAGUACGUGAAAUUGUUGAAAGGGAAGCGCUUGUGACCAGACUUGGGCGCGGCGGAUCAUCCGGGGUUCUCUCCGGUGCACUUCGCCGCGUCUAGGCCAGCAUCAGUUCGUCGCGGGGGAAAAAGGCUUCG
rnacentral:rRNA from 1 species